AUUGAACGCUGGCGGCAUGCUUUACACAUGCAAGUCGAACGGUAACAAGCCGCAAGGUGCUGACGAGUGGCGAACGGGUGAGUAAUGCAUCGGAACGUGCCCAGUCGUGGGGGAUAACGCAGCGAAAGCUAUGCUAAUACCGCAUACGAUCUAUGGAUGAAGGCGGGGGACCGUAAGGCCUCGCGCGAUUGGAGCGGCCGAUGUCAGAUUAGGUAGUUGGUGGGGUAAAGGCUCACCAAGCCAACGAUCUGUAGCUGGUCUGAGAGGACGACCAGCCACACUGGGACUGAGACACGGCCCAGACUCCUACGGGAGGCAGCAGUGGGGAAUUUUGGACAAUGGGCGCAAGCCUGAUCCAGCAAUGCCGCGUGCAGGAAGAAGGCCUUCGGGUUGUAAACUGCUUUUGUACGGAACGAAAAGGUUUGGGUUAAUACCCUGGGCCGAUGACGGUACCGUAAGAAUAAGCACCGGCUAACUACGUGCCAGCAGCCGCAGUAA
rnacentral:rRNA from 1 species